rnacentral:rRNA from 1 species
AUUGAACGCUGGCGGCAUGCCUAACACAUGCAAGUCGAACGAGUGGCGGACGGGUGAGUAAUGUCUGGGAAACUGCCUGAUGGAGGGGGAUAACUACUGGAAACGUUAGCUAAUACCGCAUACCAUCAGAUCUGCCCAGAUGGGAUUAGCUUUUUGGUGGGGUAACGGCGCACCAAGGCGACGAUCCCUAGCUGGUCUGAGAGGAUGACCAGCCACACUGGAACUGAGAAACGGUCCAGACUCCUACGGGAGGCAGCAGUGGGGAAUAUUGCACAAUGGGAGCAAGCCUGAUGCAGCCAUGCCGCGUGUAUGAAGAAGGCCUUCGGGUUGUAAAGUACUUUCGUCGGGGAGGCGUUACCCGAAGAAGAAGCACCGGCUAACUCCGUGCCAGCAGCCGCGGUAAUAC